rnacentral:rRNA from 1 species
UACGGGGGGAGCAAGCGUUGUUCGGAUUUACUGGGCGUAAAGGGCGCGUAGGCGGUCAGCACAAGUCAGUUGUGAAAUCUCCGGGCUUAACUCGGAAAGGUCAACUGAUACUGUGCGACUAGAGUGCAGAAGGGGCAACUGGAAUUCUCGGUGUAGCGGUGAAAUGCGUAGAUAUCGAGAGGAGCACCUGCGGCGAAGGCGGGUUGCUGGGCUGACACUGACGCUGAGGCGCGAAAGCCAGGGGAGCGAACGGG